rnacentral:rRNA from 1 species
CAGUAGCCGCGGGAAUACAGAGGGUGCGAGCGUUAAUCGGAUUUACUGGGCGUAAAGCGUGCGUAGGCGGCUUUUUAAGUCGGAUGUGAAAUCCAUGAGCUUAACUUAGGAAUUGCAUUCGAUACUGGGAAGCUAGAGUAUGGGAGAGGAUGGUAGAAUUCCAGGUGUAGCGGUGAAAUGCGUAGAGAUCUGGAGGAAUACCGAUGGCGAAGGCAGCCAUCUGGCCUAAUACUGACGCUGAGGUACGAAAGCAUGGGGAGCAAACAGGAUUAGAUACCCCCGUAGUCCCUGUCUCUUAUAC